rnacentral:rRNA from 1 species
UGAUUAUAAAUUAAUCUAAAUUUACCAGAGUACUAUGAACAUGCAGUUUAAAACUCAAAGGGCUUGGCGGUGCUUUAGACUCUUCAGGGGAACCUGUCUCGUAAUCGAUAGUCCACGAUAUACCUAACCUUUUUUAGACAUCAGUAUGUAUACCGUCGUCGUCAGGUAACUUUUAAAAAUAAAGAAGUUAGCAACAAAAAUUAGAAUAAUUUUGUACGUCAGAUCAAGGUGCAGCUCAUAAAAAGGUGAGGAUGGGUUACAAUUAAGAAUUAUAAUAACGGAAAGAGGUUUGGCAUAACCUCUAAUG